UAAAGACAAAGGCAAAUCUGUUGAAAAAUAGAGACGCAAAACCACAGAUCUAAUGUGAUAAAACACGACGAUGGCUGGGUUACCUGA
rnacentral:ncRNA from 1 species